AUAUAUACCUGGAUGGGGUCGAUGGGUGGUCAUCAAGGCCCAUGUCUUAGGCUAUUGACCUACAUUGCACUUGGGAGGGGCGCUUGCCUACUGUAUCCCCAAAGUGGGAGAGCCUAUGUCAUAAUUUAUGGUAGUUGGGGCCUGUGUUCACGCAUCCCCUAU